GACGAACGCUGGCGGCGUGCUUAACACAUGCAAGUCGAACAGAAAGGCCCUGCUUUUGUGGGGUGCUCGAGUGGCGAACGGGUGAGUAACACGUGAGUAACCUGCCCUUGACUUUGGGAUAACUUCAGGAAACUGGGGCUAAUACCGGAUAGGAGCUCCUGCUGCAUGGUGGGGGUUGGAAAGUUUCGGCGGUUGGGGAUGGACUCGCGGCUUAUCAGCUUGUUGGUGGGGUAGUGGCUUACCAAUGCUUUGACGGGUAGCCGGCCUGGGAGGGUGACCGGCCACAUUGGGACUGAGAUACGGCCCAGACUCCUACGGGAGGCAGCAGUGGGGAAUAUUGCACAAUGGGAGGAAGCCUGAUGCAGCAACGCCGCGUGCGGGAUGACGGCCUUCGGGUUGUAAACCGCUUUAGCCUGUGACGAAGCGUGAGUGACGGUAAUGGGUAAAGAAGCACCGGCUAACUACGUG
rnacentral:rRNA from 1 species